CCAAUAUUCGUCUCUCUGGCCCUGAACCAAGCGUGUUAUAGUUGAUUCUCCAUCUUACUAACCUCCUCUGAGCUCCACUGGAAGCCAGUUACUGACAUUUGCACUGCAUGGAAUAUCUUUCUAAGGAAAGAGAAGUGAGGAACAAAGGGGACAUGAGAAGGUCUUUGUCUUUUUCUCCGUGGGUGUGAGUACUGCAACACUGGAGCCAGAGAAUGGAGAAUGGAGCAGCUGAGGUGCAGAACUACAACCUGAGAUAAUUCACCCAGUGUUUUAAGCCCCCUUCAUCAUCACUAAUAGAAUUCCUGCUAAACUCAAUUACUCCCGCUCAAAGAUGAAUUAACUUCCCUUUGUCACAGUAGGGUUUAACCUUGAGAUAUUUUCUGUAAGAGACAUGGGAGAGGACUGGAGAAAAUGGAACAAGACUCGUGAUUAGCCUCUUAUCUGAAAACGUUUGUAUAUCAAGGCUUAAAAUGCUCAAUGGUAUUCUUUAAAAAUCCUUUACAUUUACUCCUAUAGAUAGGAAGUGGAAUAAAUGCAUUAUACCAACAAUACCACUAGAAUAAGCCAAACCAGGACACUGAAAGGUUAAGUAUAUAAUAUGAGAAAAUUAACUGUACGUAUGUUUGUUGCUGCACAGUUCAAGGAAUUCUGACAAAUGGAACAUAGUCAGUCCAGCAAGAAAUACCAAGGCAAGCCAGGAAUGUGUUGUCAGGGAGCAAUGACAUCAGCCUGCAGCCCUUGCCAGCCUCCCUCCGUCAGGUCCACAGUUCCAGAUCACUGCUCUGCAAAGGGUCACCACUCCCUUCCCGUAAAAUCACUGCACAAAGGACCAAAUCUAAAAGUGGUUGGCUGGGUUUUUUCCAUUUUAUGAGAAUGUACUAUGACUACCAGACAUCUAAUAUGCAGUGAACUCAUAUAUAUGAACAAAAUAUUCAGCCUUUCAGAUGGAUUCCUUUCUUCUUGCCCUACUGUGGUACUCACUUCAAUUUUGCUUGUUU